GUGAAAUUGUUGAAAGGGAAACGCUUGAAGUCAGUCGUGCUGGCAUGAAAUCAACCGUUGCGCUAGUAAGUUGUCUGCGGGUGAGCUAAAAACCAUCGCGUUGACAUCUUUGCGCGCGCAGCGGUGCACUUUUGUGUCAGCUGGUUAGCAUCAAUUUCGACCGUCAUAAAAAGGCUGGAGGGAUGUGGCUCCUUCGGGAGUGUUAUAACCUUUAGCGGAAUGUGGUGGUCGGGAUUGAGGAUUGCAACGAAUACCUUUAGGGCUGUUCCACCUGGCUUCUCAUUGGUAUCCUGGUGGCGACAGCUUGCUGACGUUGUUAGGACUCGCCUUUGAACAGGCUAGAGUGUGAGCAAAUUCGUUAAGGAUGUUGACGUAAUGGCUUUAAACGAC
rnacentral:rRNA from 1 species